rnacentral:misc_RNA from 1 species
UUUCCGUAGGUCGCUAGAGUUCAGCCUACCAAAGCAAACCUUUCAAAACUGCUAGUCUCUCCCCGAGGCGACACGCUCAAUGUUGCGGAGAGGCCCUCUUUUCAGAGGGUAAUCCGCAGCCGGCCCCCUAAAGGCUGGUUCAGAGACUCAAUGAGUGUGGGUUUGGCCUUUUGGCCAGGCUUAAGAUAGAGCCCGUCCCUGUAGGCAACUACGGGGGAUGAACGGAACCUGCGGAAGGAUCAUUAAAGAAUCGGUGACCCUCGCGGUCCCAUUCUCACCCUUUGUAUACCUAACUUCAGUUGCUUUGGCUGGCCUUCGCGGGCCGGCCAGAGGACUCAAACCCUUGAAUCUUUGCUGUCUGAGUACUAUAUAAUAGUUAAAACUUUCAACAACGGAUCUCUUGGUUCUG